rnacentral:tRNA from 1 species
AAAGCUUUAAGUUAAUAAAACUAUUAACCUUCAAAGUUAAAUUUAUAUAAUUUUAUAUAAGCUUUA